ensembl:lncRNA
UUCACAUUCACUCUUUAAAAUAGUCCCAUUGAUCAUCUGUUUCCGAAGUAAAUCCACUUUCAUUUAUCAUUUGUUAAUCUUACUGGAACAAUAAGGACGUGUGAGAGCAAAGAGUUUUGCCGUUUGUGAGCCAUUGUCCCCUUUUUGAAGUGUAGUGCACACAGCCGGAGGUCCGUCUGCAGCGGGAUGCCGGUCGCUGAGGACACCUUCAGCCCGAGGUCACCUCGUCCCUUGUGAGGCCGGUCGAUCCUCCAGCGCGUUACGUACCGUCGGAAGGAGGAAGCUGAGACCUGGGUGGGAUUUUACACACGCAGAACUCAUUCAUCAUCGCCUGCUCAUUUCGCAGGUUGACCUCCGCGUGUACGCCGCCGACACAAUCAAUAGAGCUCAUGAAUAGAAUGAGAUACAUCAUUCUCCAUUAGGGGAGUUGUCUUCAGGGAGGUCGUGUUCCUUCCCACCGAUGCUGAGGGCCCCCCCCCCGGGACUCCACGGGCCGCGGGGGAAUUUGGAACGACGAGCGCCGCGGCCUGGAAUGUCCUGGGACGCGUUGAGAUUUCGGAUGAGUGAGCGCGGCGGCAACGCGGCCCGGAACCCGACUGGCGGAGGCGUCCGAGGCGAGUUCAGCCGAUGGCGGGUGUCACUGCGUCUGUGUCUGCAGACGCGGAGGCGCUGCAGCGUUUGCCUGUUCCUCGUCCGUCAGAAGCACAAUUCCCUCGAGAGGUUUCGCCUGGUUUC